rnacentral:rRNA from 1 species
UGGGGAAUAUUGCACAAUGGGCGCAAGCCUGAUGCAGCAACGCCGCGUGAGGGACGACGGCCUUCGGGUUGUAAACCUCUUUUAGUAGGGAAGAAGCGAAAGUGACGGUACCUGCAGAAAAAGCACCGGCUAACUACGUGCCAGCAGCCGCGGUAAUACGUAGGGUGCGAGCGUUGUCCGGAAUUAUUGGGCGUAAAGAGCUCGUAGGCGGUCUGUCGCGUCUGCUGUGAAAACCCGAGGCUCAACCUCGGGCCUGCAGUGGGUACGGGCAGACUAGAGUGCGGUAGGGGAGAAUGGAAUUCCUGGUGUAGCGGUGGAAUGCGCAGAUAUCAGGAGGAACACCGAUGGCGAAGGCAGUUCUCUGGGCCGUAACUGACGCUGAGGAGCGAAAGCGUGGGGAGCGAACAGGAUUAGAUACCCUGGUAGUCCACGCCGU